GGCGAACGCUGGCGGCGUGCCUAACACAUGCAAGUCGAGCGAACCCAUCAGGUCUAUUGGCGCACGGGUGCGUAGCGGGUCGGAACCGGCCCUUAGGGUCGGACUAACUCCCCGAAAGGGGUACUUAUGCGGGAUAAUGUCUUCGAACGAACGAUUUAUCGCAUUUGGAUGGGCAAGCGUUGCAUUAGCUAGUGGGUAGGGUAAAAGACUAACAAGGCGACGAUGAGUAGCUGGGCUGAGAGACUGGUCAGCCACACUGGGACUGAGACACGGCCCAGACUCCUACGGGAGGCAGCAGUGGGGAAUAUUGGACAAUGGGCGAAAGCCUGACCGAGCAAGGCCGCGUGAGGGAUGAAGGUCUUAGGGUUGUAAAGCUUUGUUACCGAGGAGGAUAAUGACGGUACCGGAAGAGUAAGCCCCGGCUAACUACGUG
rnacentral:rRNA from 1 species